rnacentral:rRNA from 1 species
GACAAACGCUGGCGGCAUGCCUAACACAUGCAAGUCGAACGGACAGAACAGGGAAGCUUUUCGGAGUGGAACUGGAAAGUUAGUGGCGGAUGGGUGAGUAACGCGUGGACAACCUACCUUGUAAAGGGGAAUAACCUCGAGAAAUCGAAGCUAAUACCCCAUAAUAACCUUGCUUCGCAUGAAGUAAGGAGGAAAGGCGGCCUUAGCGCUGUCGAUACAAGAUGGGUCCGCGUCUGAUUAGCUAGUUGGUGAGGUAGAGGCUCACCAAGGCGACGAUCAGUAGCCGGCCUGAGAGGGUGAACGGCCACAUUGGGACUGAGACACGGCCCAAACUCCUACGGGAGGCAGCAGUGGGGAAUCUUCCGCAAUGGGCGAAAGCCUGACGGAGCAAUGCCGCGUGAGUGAAGAAGGCCUUCGGGUUGUAAAACUCUGUCCUUAUCGAAGAGAGAGUGUUGUAGUAACUGACAAUACUAGGACGGUAGAUGAGGAGGAAGCCCCGGCUAACUAUGUG